AGAACACACAUUCAUUAUCCUUAGGACCAUAGGAUAAACAAAAACGUUGUAAAACCAAGUUAUCAUAUCCUAGAAUGAUUCUAACACGAUAACUAACCUAUGUCUUUGAUAUCAGCUGAUGGGAAAAACUC
rnacentral:pre_miRNA from 1 species